GCAAUCUAUCCUGUUGCGGGGGACAACGAGGGGAAACCUUCGCUAAUACCGCAUGGUCGGGAGACUCGAUGGGUCUUCCGGGAAACGUGGCCUCUUUACAAUGCUACGGUGGCAGGAGGAGCUCGCGGGCUAUCAGCUAGUUGGUGAGGUAACGGCUCACCAAGGCGACGACGGCUACGGGGUCUGAGAGGACGACCCCGCACAUUGGAACUGAGACACGGUCCAGACUCCUACGGGAGGCAGCAGUGGGGAAUAUUGGGCAAUGGCCGAAAGGCUGACCCAGCGACGCCGCGUGUGGGAGGAAGCCCUUCGGGGUGUAAACCACUGUCAGGAGGGACGAAAGAGCGCAUGGUGAAUAAUCAUGGGCAGUGACGGUACCUUCAAAGGAAGCACCGGCUAACUCUGUGCCAGCAGCCGCGGUAAUACAGAGGGUGCAAGCGUUGUUCGGAAUUACUGGGCGUAAAGCGCGCGCAGGCGGGUCCUGUAAGUCGGAAGUGAAAUUUCACGGCUCAACCCCGAGCUGCUUCUGAUACUGCGGAUCUGGAGCACUGUAGAGGCAGGUGGAAUUACAGGUGUAGCGGUGGAAUGCGUAGAUAUCUGUAAGAACACCCGUGGCGAAGGCGGCCUGCUGGGCCGAAUCUGACGCUGAGGCGCGAAAGCGUGGGGAGCAAACAGGAUUAGAUGCCCUGGUAGUCCACGCCGUAAACGAUGGGCACUAGGUGCCGGGGGGAGCUACCCCUUCGGUGCCGCAGCUAACGCGAUAAGUGCCCCGCCUGGGGAGUACGGCCGCAAGGCUGAAACUCAAAGGAAUUGACGGGGGCCCGCACAAGCGGUGGAGCAUGAGGUUUAAUUCGAAGCAACGCGAAGAACCUUACCUAGGUUUGACAUGCAGAUGAAAGCUUCUGGAAACAGGGGCCCUUCUUCGGAACAUUUGCACAGGUGCUGCAUGGCUGUCGUUCAGCUCGUUGUCGGUGAGAUGUUGGGUUAAGUCCCGCAAACGAGCGCAAAC
rnacentral:rRNA from 1 species